rnacentral:misc_RNA from 1 species
CAGUGUCUAUUUGUAAUUGUUGUUCGUAUCCAUAUUUUGUAAUUUACUGUACAUCUGAUAUUUUCCAACUGAAAUAGAUAAAUAAAAGCUAUUACUACUAGUUAUAUAUCAUGGAGUAGAAGAAAACGGCAGUGGUGGCCCCGAGUGAUAGGCGAGCGGUGAGGGCCUGGGUGUGUACCUCACUGGGAGACACUCAUGUAAUACAACAGGUGAAGGAAGACACACCUAACUCCAUAACCGGCAGUUAAAGAAGAAAUACACGUGGCCUAGAAAACUCAGCAGUCACAAUGGGAGGCUUAAGGUGGGCAUUUGGUCCCCAGCUUUUAAGACAAACAUCAGCAUCAGUAGUACCACGUCGUUUUUUGCCUGAACCCAGAAAACGCUUCUACAGGAAUGUAACAGUAGCUGGAACAAGUGACACAUAUGAAGUGAAUCUUGACCACCGUAAAUUGAAGACACCUCUUGGAAAUAUUUUUAAUGUUCCAAACUAUGGCCUGGCUCUGGCUAUUGCUCAUGAGUGGGUAGCAGUGAAGGAGAAAAUACACCCGAGUUUCAUGCAUUUGACUGGCCUGGCUAAUACUGUCAUAGACAAUCCAAGUUAUCAAACCAAAUGGGAUGUUAUCAAUAAAACUUUGGAUUACAUGGAUACUGACACGGUGCUAUUCCGAGAUGACCGGUCAGAUGAAUUCAUUCAGCUUCAAGCAAAGGAGUGGGACCCAGUUCUGGAUUGGUUUAAUACAAAAUUUGAGGUAAACUUAAAGCCUUGUGGGGGACUCUUAGGGGCUAACAUACCUCCACCAGCUCGUGAGGCCAUCAGACGUUACCUCCUCUCCUAUAAUAUGUGGGCAGCUAACGGUUUUCUUUAUGGUGUCGAAGCGGUCAAGUCGGUUAUCCUGACAAUUGCGGCUGCAGAGCGAAAAAUUUCCGCAGAAAGGGCAGUUACUCUCUCAAGAUUAGAAACAAAUUAUCAGACAUCACAUUGGGGAGCCGUAGAAUGGGCUCAUGAUUUGGAGAAGUACGACCUUGAGUCCAGAUUUUCUGCUGCUUUACUCUUCAUACACUUCAAUACUUGGCAAACUACUGUUAAACAGAAAGCCAAGCAGUGACAUCGUCAAGAUCUAGUUUGAUGUGUUUAUACUUCGUAGAAUUGAAAUAUCACAAUAUGUCUAAAGACAAGACACACACACAUCUGGUUACUGUUAAGAACAUUGUACAGUGUCAUCAUUUCAAAGUAAGACAAACAUGAAAUAUAUUUGAGCUACUACAUGACUAAACUGCUGGCCUGACUGAAAUAUCACCACCACCCUUUUAUGAACUUUCCAUAUACGUGGAUAAAAGUUGCGUGGAACACGAUUGAGAGCACCAUCCAACCUGCGACGCCUUAGCCACUGACCGUAACGAUCACCUUCACUGUCAUCAGACUUUCCUUCUGUCAUUGAUGAACCCAAGAAACUACCUAUUGCACUUUUCUAGAAUUCAAAAGAAACAUAUGAGGAGCCGUUACUAAAUUAUUUUUAUUAAACUUAGAUAAACUUUUAUUAGCCAUUUUACACGGAUAUCAAUAGCACUGUAGUACUACCAUCAUGCUUUUCACUCUUUUUCUAAAAACUAAUAUUAUUUAUAAACAAAACGGGUGUUUAUGUAUACACCAAAGGUGUAGUAUUGUACCUACCUGAUUGGUCACCUUAAAAUUAUUAUUUUAAGUAUUCAAUUGGGUCAAUUGGAUAGCUUAUGAAAUUAUGAAGGUUUCAGAGUACUCACCAGAACCAUAUGAUGAUGUAGAAAACGAGCUUCACCAAUAGUCCACCACCCACUGCACAACAGUGACCAUAUUACCCUAUAUAACCUAAUCUCAGAACAGCAUAGACUGAGGCUUUACUGACUACCAUAAACCCUUUUUGAACAUGUAAUUCCUUACUUUAUCCCUAUCUUACUUAAGACUGUUUUAAUUAUGUUACUCAUUGCUUUAGUCACUCACGUUUACAGUUUAAAACACUCAUUCAUACCCUUUUAAUCACUGACUUCUACUGUUUUAGUCACUCUUCACAAUCACUUAAAGUACUUCCAUCAGGUGUUGCUUUUGACAAAGUCAAAUCUCCUCUUAAAUUCUUUCUCCCAACUCCACACAAUACAAACAAACUACAGUGACAAACUCCCAUGAAUGAGACCCAAACUGGUAAGGUUCAUCAGUUGUGUAUAAAGAACUUAUUUAAGGGAUGGUUAGUAAGAUAUGCUACAAACUUUGUAGUUUUGACAGCAAUUAUUUUGAUAACUUCUUGCACAGAUGUUUUGGUUGUGCUUACCCAUCACUAAUUCACUGCAGUCACCACCUGGGCUAAAGCAUUUGUUCCAAAGGUGGUUUUUUCCAUGCCAGCUUCAAAGAAAUCCAGGUAACUAUUUUCUGGAAUUCUGUGAAUCUACUGGUGGAAUUUUAUAGCAUGGGCAACUGUUGAUGCAGUUGCAUACUGUGCAACACAGAGUAAUUGCAACCAUCAGUUGAAAGUCUUGCUUUUAGGCCCAAAGCUAAAUAACAAAUAUCAACUCAUUUGGAAAAGCAAGGAUGUUUCUAACUGGUCCUAUUUGUUGUGGAAUGUCCCUUUGUCAGUAAAAACAUUACUGGAUAAUAGUGAUGCAUGCAAGUCCCAUCCUUCAGGAUACAUAUUACUUUCUUGAAAAUUAGUUGGAUCAAUGUAGCAAUUAAAAUUUUCAGUGCCAAUCCAUCUACAGCAUUAUAUUUACAGUACUCAUCUUCCUCUUUGAAUGGGAGGGGUCAAGGGAGACAAUCUUUUCAAAGGAAAAGGAUGGGAAAUAUUAAGGAAGAAUGAUGCAAGAAAGUUGUAGAAAGCAACUGAAAGAUUUGAACCAUUUUGUGGAGAUACAGUAUAUCCAAACACACACACAUACACACAUCCUCAUACUGUAUCUUCAAUUUACAUUCACAAGAUACAUCAUCAAUCUUUAACCACCUGGAUAUAUUUAGAAAAAACACUAUGAUGCAACCAGCCAGUCAGUUAUUUAAAUAAAAUAAAAUCCUGAGAGAGUAAGAGGUAAGAGCACAGGCUAUUUGGAGAUGGGGAUUAUGACAAUUAAAAACUUUACUCGGAGAUACCUAUAACAUUCAUAGCAAUUUAUAUCAUGAAUCCAAAACAGCUGAAUAUAAACCUGAAAUUUCCAACCCUAAAUCCUUGGUAGUAAGGGUCAACUAAAUUGACAAAGCAAAAACACAAUACUGUACAAAAUAAGCAUAAACUUUGAAUUUAAAUGAUCACAGUAAAAAUUCAAUGGAUUCAUUCAGAUAAGAAGCACAUGCUGUAUGUGUAGCAGCUGAAUUACUAUUUAAUUAGGCAAUCUCUGGAGAUCAUUCCAGGAUAAUUAUAUAAGUACUGUAGUGGUGCAUGGUACUGUACAGUACUGUACAUAGAAAAGUGUUGAUUGAUAAUCAUUAUAAUGCUGGUGGAUUCAACUGGCAAUAUUAUUCCAUUACUGGUGGAACAUACAGUACUCUUAAGAGUAGGAGAAAUGAUGAUAAAAAAAAUGAUCUACAAAAUAUAGAAGAUAUUUCAAGUGGAUAGUCGUGUAUGGUAAUUAUACCAGGUGUGUGGGAUUAUGGUAACUGCUGAUUACUGCAAGCAAAUAUCAAAACAAUGCAAAAUUUAUUAUACAUUUCUGUGAUUUACUGAAAAAAGUGAGACAUGCAGUUUAUAGAGGAAAAUGUGAAUAAUUUAUUCUUUUAUACUCCUAAUGCAAGAGGAGUUGAUAUAUAUUGUAUACAUUACUUCAAAUUAAUUCUGGUUUUAGAAAAAGGGAAAUGUUACACAUAUUUAAAGCUUAUGAUAACAAAAACAGCCAACUAAAACAGUAGCAAAUGAUUAAAGCAGAUUUAAAGGGGAAAAUAAAGGUGUGUAUUUAUGGACAAUACAAUAUCAGGUAACUAAAAUCAAGCACUGCACAUGACCUCCUUAUCUCACCUUCUCAGCAUGCAACCCUCCCUGCCAAAGUAAAAGGGGAUGAGAAGAGCAUUAGUUAACUAGCUACCAGGGAAGACCUUCCUUUGUCAAAUACUGUACAAUGUCCUAUUAGCUAUUAGCAAAUGUAAUACAAAUACAAAUCAGCAUAUACAGUAUCUACAUUAAUUAUGCAAAGUCCCUCUUAAGCUUUAUCUGCAGCAGCUGCCUAUAUCUCACAACCAAUUUUGAGAAAAUCUUUACAAAUAAUUUACAAAAAUAUCAUAAAGUAAAAUUUGGUUCAAAAUUUUUUAAGAAUUUUUUUUUAACUCAUGAACGUUAACCUAUAGGUACACAUGUUUAAUGAAUCCUAAAAAAAAUAUCUUCAUACUGUUUUCUCGUGAGAAGUAGUGUCUUUUUUAGGGUUAACGGACAACUCAUUGAUUCAUUAAGCUCCAACCACUUCUCUGCACUUAGCCUGAAUACAUUAUAUGAUUGGUUGUCAGGUUUAUCAGGGCAACACAUUAAUGAAUCACCAGUCCAAUUUUUUUCCUUACCACAUUAAUAAAUUUUCAGUCAGAUUUUUCUUAUCGUUUUUAAUUGAGGUUAACAUUUAUGUAACAUUUCUGACCCUAAUUUACUUGAGUUACAGGCAAAGACAUAAUCAAACUGGUAAGGUAACUGUGAUGGUGCAUGACUGGUAAUGUAAACAGUUUGGUGUUAGUUAGAAGUGGGGGUAGUCUGUUAAUAAGUCAGCUAGCCAAUACAGUGAUCAUGACGGACAGAUUCUUCCCCUAUACAUUGACUGCACAUUAACACAACAACAAGUCCAUUUAUUAAAACACAUAUCACUGUUUACAAUAAUUACACACCACAACACUACACAAAACAGGUAACUACACGUACUUUGACAACUCCUCAACACAUUACCAAAUUUGUAUAAUAUGAACUUUUACCUUGUGUUUUUGAUAUACCUGAGUUAUAAGUUAUUAAUAUAUACUGUACUACAAAACACUACAUAAACUCAAUGUCACACAAAAAUUAAGUGAAUAACCAACUUAUUCUGAUAAAGCUUAAAUAAAUUUC